rnacentral:rRNA from 1 species
AUUGAACGCUGGCGGCAGGCCUAACACAUGCAAGUCGAGCGGAUGAAGGGAGCUUGCUCCUGGAUUCAGCGGCGGACGGGUGAGUAAUGCCUAGGAAUCUGCCUGGUAGUGGGGGAUAACGUCCGGAAACGGGCGCUAAUACCGCAUACGUCCUGAGGGAGAAAGUGGGGGAUCUUCGGACCUCACUCUAUCAGAUGAGCCUAGGUCGGAUUAGCUAGUUGGUUGGGUAAAGGCCUACCAAGGCGACGAUCCGUAACUGGUCUGAGAGGAUGAUCAGUCACACUGGAACUGAGACACGGUCCAGACUCCUACGGGAGGCAGCAGUGGGGAAUAUUGGACAAUGGGCGAAAGCCUGAUCCAGCCAUGCCGCGUGUGUGAAGAAGGUCUUCGGAUUGUAAAGCACUUUAAGUUGGGAGGAAGGGCAGUAAGUUAAUACCUUGCUGUUUUGACGUUACCAACAGAAUAAGCACCGGCUAACUUCGUG